rnacentral:rRNA from 1 species
UUCAAUACUUGAAUCGCAAGAUUCAAGUGUGCACUUCUCUUUUAGUAAGACGUUGUGAUCCAUUAGAAAUUGAUUGUCCCCUCUGGUUUGACAAUCAUUGGGCUACCAAUAGUCUGAUAUUGAAGUUCACAAUGACAAACAAUACAGUCAUUUCUAACGAUUGUAUAUAUUGUCUUGUGAGCAUGUCAUGUACUGGUGUAGCCGUMUGAUGGAUUUUAAAGGUCACAACAUUAAUAUCCUUGUGGUAUUACGACAAUUUUAUUAUUGGCGUUUCUUUGUUGUGUACCCGAUCAACAACGGUUUCAUUUGGGAUACCUUUGGGACCCGUCUUGAAACACGGACCAAGGAGUCUAUCUAGUAUGCAAGUAAAUGGGAAUAUUGUAAACCUAUUUGCGUAAAUAACUUGACUGUUUUUUUUAUGGGAUUACAAGUGUUUUUUUCGUUUUCCAAAACGRACACUUUUCCAUCCCGGGGWAUUUUCAUCACAUAUAGUGUACUCGUUAUGCUAUAUAGAAAAUAUACCAUGAGCAUACUGRAUAUGACCCGAAAGAUGGKGAACUAUGCCUGAUCAGGUUGAAGUCAGGGRAAACCCUGAUGGAGGACCGAAGCAAUUCUGACGUGCAAAUCG